CCAAGUUAAAGGUUAAGAGGAUAAAUUUGGCUGGGUUAGAUGGCAUCCAGAUAUAGCCAUGUUAAAGGUUAAGAUCAAGAUUAUUAAACUCAGAUAAAGGCAGAGAUGUGGUAAAGCAGUUCUGUAAAAGUAAAGGGGCCAAUUGUCACGCUAAUGUGAGAUCACUUGACAUUUUCUCUCAACCUGAACAAGGAGCCUCAAAACCCUUUCUGAACCUUUCAAAAAUUCAUCAUUUUAUUCAAGCAGCAAAUUCUGAAAAGCAAUCCUAAGGGUAUCCUGCUACAAGUAGUUGGUCCUGCAAAGAAGGCCAAAAUAAAGUACUCAGGGGUCGUUUGGUACGGCGGACUGUCAUGGACUGGACUAAAUUCUAGGACUGUCUUGGAUUAACUCGGAUUGGACUAAGCUGGAUUAAGUACUGACCUACGUUUGGUGUUGUGUCGAACUAAGAAGCUGGAUUGUAAAAAUAGUGAAGACCUAUGUUUGGUGCUGUGUCGGACUAAAAAAUAAUUCUUGUAAUAUUUAAAUUUAAUUGAUUAUUUUGGCUUAAAAAUAUUUAUAUUUAAUUAGGGAUAUUUAAUUGGGGUUGAUGUGUGAAUUUUUUUAAAAAAAAUUAAUUUUUUAUUUAAAAAAUAAAAAAACCAUUAUCUCGUUCUUUUCUUCUUCCUUCCUCCCUCUCCCUGGCUCUGCCUUUCUUUCCCGUCUGUCUUCCUCUCUCUCUGGAUGUGUCUUUCUUUUCAGAUUUCCAAAGAGAAAAAUAGAAUAAACCCAACUAACCCCACACCACAACUUUUGACAAACCACACCACAAAAUUAAAAUUAAAAAAUACCAAAACACAAUUGGGAUCUUUUUGAUCCCUUUCUUCUUCCUGGUAGCAUACCCUGCGAAUCCAAUAACCAUAAUAAAGUCCCUGCUUGGCUUUGUUUUUGUAAUUCCUUCUUCUCAAAAUCAUAAAAGGGAUAUAAGGGAUUGGUAUCAUCGCAAUCAGUGGAAUAGUCGACCCAUUUUCUUACACAAGCAUUUCUGUACUCAGAUCGGCAGGUAUGGAGGUCUUUCCCAACCUCAAGCCCACCGGCGACUAGCUCCACAUCCUUGUUGCCAACGGAAACGGCACCAUCGAAUUCGAUGAGCUACUCACCGCCAUCUUGCCCGACAUGAACGGGGAGGAUUCUCAUCAACCAGGAGCAGCUCAUGGAUGUGGGUCGAACUUGAUGUUUCAAAAUAGCACGCUCGCUAUUUUGCGAACUGUUUUUCAUCCUCGCAGUAUUGGACGAGCGAGUCCGGUGAUUUUUUCACCAGUGGACUAUACAAUCCCAUUUAUGUUAGUCCCUCUUUCACCAAACGUGGGUUUUAAAGUGUUAUUUAACACUGUCCAAGCUAGUCCAGCCUGCCAAACAUGCCCUCAAAGGCUCAGAAAUGUUCCUUUUGUAUAGUCCUGCCUGCUUCAAGUAGUCGCUCCUGCAAAUGAAAAUGCAUACUAGCGAGAAUCAGCGACAACACAUAUACUUACACGCGCACACAAACAUAUCCACAAACUUGAAAACAUCUGAUCUUGAAGCUCAGUCACUUUAUAACAAAAGAUAGGUGGCAAGGCCGGUCUUGAAAUUUUGAAGGUCCUGUGCAAACUUUAAAUUGGGGCCUCACAUAAGCUAACACAAACUUACACCAUUAUGUAAUGCCAUACAAUAAAUGUUUUUUUUUCUUCAAGUGAUCAAAGUACCCCUACUCCCAAGGACAAAAUUGAAAUUUCACAAAAGAAUUAAAUUGGAUUAAAUCGAUUACAUUAGGUCAGAGAUGUGGUCGGGUAUUUAUUAUUUCAGUUUGUGGUUGUGAAAGUAGAUGGGAUAUUGAAUGUUGGUGUUGACAUUGGACAAGCCUUUAACAUAAGCAGGUUUUGAAGUCGAGUCCUGAAUACAAAUUGAGGCCCUACAAACCAACACAACUAGAAACGUCUUUGUGUCAACAAUUUGCUCACUCUGUAUAUAUAUAUAACAUUUGUUAUAUAUAUAGAGUGCUGCUAUUUUCACCCACCUGUCUUAUUUUCUCACCCACUAUGUAAAUUUGAAAAAUUAAAAUCCUACUUUUCCACCCACCAUUAUUCCUAAAAUACCCUUUAAUUAUUAAUUCGACCAAACACCAUCAACUCCAAGUUAAAAACAUAAAAAUUUUAACCCAAAAAAAAAAAAAUUUCUUCAUCUUCUUCAUGUGUUUUCAACAUCAUGACCUUACCCUACCAUAUUAAUAUUCUCAUCAACCCCUUAGCAGUAUUGGUGGCUUCACGACCGCGACACCACCACCACAACAACAUACAACCAACAAGACUACAAUGGAUUUUUAAUUGAAGUGAUGUUAUAUGGAAUAAGGACCCGUAUGUGGGUUAAUUAGACUAAAAAUCUUUAAAAUGGAAUAAAAUUAAAGGACAAUUUGGCCUCUAUUAUCAACACCUACCAACCCUGACACAAUAUUAAAGGUGGAGUUGAGAAUUUGAUUUGAAUUUUUUUUUUUUAAAACUUUUCAAAGGAUUGGGAUGGGUAGAUCGAUGCUCGCUGAAUUUGUUGAGGUCAGGAAGAUGGAAAGAAUAUGGAGAGUAAAAGAAAAAAUUUAUUUUCUUUUUAAAAUUUGUUUUAUUUUUAGGGUUUUAGAAGUCAUUUUACAUAGGGAUAAAUUUGUCUUUAAAUUUUUUAAAAUAAGAUGGGUGGAAAAAUAUGAAGUGGGUGAAAAUAGUAGCACUCUACAUAUAUUAUACACAUGAAAAAAAAUUGGGGCUCCUAAAAAAUUAAGGGCCCUGUGCGAUGGCACCACUUGCACACCCUCAAGCCCACCCCUGAUAGGUGGUAUUCCCGUUUAAGCCAGCAACAUAAACCCAUUCUCUUUUUUGGUCCAACAUAAACCCAUUCUCAUCUCUCAUUUUUGGUAUUC
rnacentral:lncRNA from 1 species